rnacentral:rRNA from 1 species
GACGAACGCUGGCGGCGUGCCUAAUACAUGCAAGUUGAGCGCUUAAGGUUGGUACUUGUACCAACUGGAUGAGCAGCGAACGGGUGAGUAACGCGUGGGGAAUCUGCCUUUGAGCGGGGGACAACAUUUGGAAACGAAUGCUAAUACCGCAUAAAAACUUUAAACACAAGUUUUAAGUUUGAAAGAUGCAAUUGCAUCACUCAAAGAUGAUCCCGCGUUGUAUUAGCUAGUUGGUGAGGUAAAGGCUCACCAAGGCGAUGAUACAUAGCCGACCUGAGAGGGUGAUCGGCCACAAUGGGACUGAGACACGGCCCAAACUCCUACGGGAGGCAGCAGGAGGGAAGCGUCGGCAAGGGACGAAAGGCUGAACGAGCAACGCCGCGUGAGGGAAGAAGGGUUUCGGAUCGUAAAACUCUGUUGGUAGAGAAGAAAGUGGGUGAGAGUGGAAAGCUCAUCAAGUGACGGUAACUACACAGAAAGGGACGGCUAACUACGUG